GCUGGGCACAGUGGUGCAUGCCUGUAAUCCCUGUGGCUAGGGAGGCUGAGACAGGAGGACUGAGAGUUCAAAGCCAGCCUCAGCAAUGGCGAGGCCCUAAGCAACUCGGCGAGACCCUGUCUCUA
rnacentral:sRNA from 1 species